UACAGAGUGCUCAAGCGUUUGUUCGGAUUCAUUGGGCGUAAAGGGUGCGUAGGUGGCGCGCUAAGUCAGGUGUGAAAUUUCGGAGCUUAACUCCGAAACUGCAUUUGAUACUGGCGUGCUUGAGGACUGGAGAGGAGACUGGAAUUCACGGUGUAGCAGUGAAAUGCGCAGAUAUCAGGAGGAACACCGGUGGCGAAAGGCGGGUCUCUGGGCCGAUACUGACGCUGAGGAGCGAAAGCGUGGGGAGCGAACAGG
rnacentral:rRNA from 1 species